GAAGAAAUUCAGAGUUUACUUGGAAACCUUACCUUUGUCUCAUCAGAGAACAUUGAUUUUGUUUUACAAGGUAUAGAAGAUGAGAGAAGCCAUUGGAGAGAAAAAGGGAAUUGAGGCUCCUGCAGUUCCAAUCCAGCUGUUCAGUAUCUCCCACUCUGUAAAAUGCACACAUUAAAAGAAUAUGAGUGGGGGAAUUCAUUAGCCUCAGACCAGCCCUGUUACUGCAGGAACCAUGGAGGGCUGUUUGUCUGACAGGCUGAGAGCAGUCCAUGCUCUAUCAGUGCCUCUGCUGGUUGAAGCUUGGAGAGCUCAGUGCUGGUGAUGGUUGUUCCUACAAACACAUCUUACAGGAAAACUUCUCCUUCCUCCUGGACCCUGAAGUUUUGGAUUUAGUAAGAAGAUAACUGUCCCAAGACAAACAUUCUCAUGGAUACAGUAGAGUAUUUUAAAUGGUAUAUUGCUACAGUAAGGAACGAAAGGACAACUUCAGUUUGACUCUGGUGGCCUUAUCGACAUCAAGAAAAUACAUGGAAAAGUCCUUAGUUCUCUCACUGUGAUCAGAAAAAAUAAGGAGCAUUCUGCUUUACAAAGGAGACAACAAUUAGCUGGCUGUGUAGGCUGGAAAUGGGAAUUAAAAAUCCUAUGGAUUCAUAACUAACCAGAGUAGAUACAUAAAAGUCUAUUUGAUUUUCAUGUAUUUUAAUAAUUCCAAAUAUCUCAAGCAUAUUAUGGAAGAAGAAAAAAAAUAAUCUGCAGGAUUUUUCAAAAGUCAUGUCUCCAUUCUGAAGAAAUCAACCCUUGGACAGCUUUCUGGAUUCCUCUCCCUUCUUUCUUGUGAAAUGGAAGACACUAUCACAAGACAACCUCUAAUGGAGUCUCUGCUGAAUCCUGCCAUCAAGAGGACACUGAUUUCUGACUUCCAAAUCUCUCUCUUGGAGACUUUCUUGCAUUAAAUAAUAUUUUGACGAAAACUAGCUUUUGAAUGUCACAGUGUUGCUUAUUAGUGGUUGGUAGGUGUCAAUGUGCUAAUAGACACCUAGACUUCAAAAAAAGAAUCAAUAAAUCUCAGCAGCACAGAGAAAGUUUUGCUGUUUGCAUUAUUCUGGCUGCAGCACAGUGGAUCUGAGGAACCCAGGGGUGGGAGAGAGAAAUGAUGUUUUCAAUAAGGAAUACUAGUGGGAGAAAAGGGAGGGACAGGAAUAGUGUCUGCAAAGAAAAUAUAACAAGAAGAGAGCUUUUAGCUCAGCCAGGAUCACACAGAACAUGGAAAGGAUGCAAAGGCAGACCACAGAACUGAUGAAAGAAAAAAUUCUUUCAGUUCUUCUAAGUGAACUGUAAAAGAUGUAUUGGAACCAGAAAGCCAUUGAAAAGUCAUUUCAUUGACAUCCCAAAGGAGAAGACCCAUCUUGAACAGCUGCAAAGCAGAUUACACCAACACAGGAAAAGAGUUUUAGUAAUUUAUAUACAUUAUCCUACAGACAGAUUAUAAGCAUUUGAAUGUGCUGACCACAAAGCAAACCCAUCAAAUAUUUAAAGGAAGAUGCCAGCAAGAAAUGUGGUUUAUAGCGGACCUUGAGUGUGAAUAAGUUUCCUGGUCAUCCCAAAGGUGUUGAUACAAAGGCUGUUUUCCAGUUGUGGCUUGUCCCGUUACACUCAAUUUUAACAACCUGACAUGUACCCAAGACCCCUCUUGUCUUCAGGCACACCAGAAAGAAGGACUUUCUUCAACCUGAAUUCCUCAAUCAUGCAGAUUGAUGUCUUACUUGCACACAAGGUGUCACUACUGAUUUGCACGUGCUCCCCUGAGAUGCAGGUGGUGCUCAUAGUGCUGCUCCUGGGUCCUCCCCUACCC